GAUGAACGCUGGCGGCGUGCCUAAUACAUGCAAGUCGAGCGAACAGAAGAGGAGCUUGCUCCUCUGACGUUAGCGGCGGACGGGUGAGUAACACGUGGAUAACCUACCUAUAAGACUGGGAUAACUUCGGGAAACCGGAGCUAAUACCGGAUAAUAUAUUGAACCGCAUGGUUCAAUAGUGAAAGACGGUUUUGCUGUCACUUAUAGAUGGAUCCGCGCCGCAUUAGCUAGUUGGUAAGGUAACGGCUUACCAAGGCGACGAUGCGUAGCCGACCUGAGAGGGUGAUCGGCCACACUGGAACUGAGACACGGUCCAGACUCCUACGGGAGGCAGCAGUAGGGAAUCUUCCGCAAUGGGCGAAAGCCUGACGGAGCAACGCCGCGUGAGUAAUGAAGGUCUUCGGAUCGUAAAACUCUGUUAUUAGGGAAGAACAAAUGUGUAAGUAACUAUGCACGUCUUGACGGUACCUAAUCAGAAAGCCACGGCUAACUACGUG
rnacentral:rRNA from 1 species